AAGACCUUGCGCUUUUGGAGCGGCCGAUGCCUGAUUAGCUUGUUGGUAAGGUAAAAGCUUACCAAGGCUUCGAUCAGUAGCUGGUCUGAGAGGACGGCCAGCCACACUGGGACUGAGACACGGCCCAGACUCCUACGGGAGGCAGCAGUGGGGAAUUUUGGACAAUGGGGGCAACCCUGAUCCAGCCAUGCCGCGUGAGUGAAGAAGGCCUUCGGGUUGUAAAGCUCUCUCAGCCGGAACGAAACGGUUACGGUUAAUACCCGUGACUACUGACGGUACCGGAAGAAGAAGCACCGGCUAACUACGUGCCAGCAGCCGCGGUAAUACGUAGGGUGCGAGCGUUAAUCGGAAUUACUGGGCGUAAAGCGUGCGCAGGUGGUUUUGUAAGUCAGAUGUGAAAGCCCCGGGCUCAACCUGGGAACU
rnacentral:rRNA from 1 species